rnacentral:rRNA from 1 species
GAUGAACGCUGACAGAAUGCUUAACACAUGCAAGUCAACUUGAACUUCGGUUUGGGUGGCGGACGGGUGAGUAACGCGUACAGAACUUGCCUCACAGCUAGGGACAACAUUUGGAAACGAAUGCUAAUACCUGAUAUUAUGAUUAUAUGGCAUCGUAUAAUUAUGAAAGCUAUAUGCGCUGUGAGAGAGCUUUGCGUCCCAUUAGCUAGUUGGAGAGGUAACAGCUCACCAAGGCGAUGAUGGGUAGCCGGCCUGAGAGGGUGAUCGGCCACAAGGGGACUGAGACACGGCCCUUACGCCUAAGGGAGGCAGCAGUGGGGAAGAUUGGACAAUGGACCGAGAGUCUGAUCCAGCAAUUCUGUGUGCACGAUGAAGUUUUUCGGAAUGUAAAGUGCUUUCAGUUGGGAAGAAAAAAAUGACGGUACCAACAGAAGAAGUGACGGCUAAAUACGUG